rnacentral:rRNA from 1 species
GCAUAUCAAUAAGCGGAGGAAAAGAAACCAACCGGGAUUGCCCUAGUAACGGCGAGUGAAGCGGCAACAGCUCAAAUUUGAAAUCUGGCUCUUUUAGAGUCCGAGUUGUAAUUUGCAGAGGGCGCUUUGGCUUUGGCAGCGGUCCAAGUUCCUUGGAACAGGACGUCACAGAGGGUGAGAAUCCCGUACGUGGUCGCUGGCUAUUGCCGUGUAAAGCCCCUUCGACGAGUCGAGUUGUUUGGGAAUGCAGCUCUAAAUGGGAGGUACAUUUCUUCUAAAGCUAAAUAUUGGCCAGAGACCGAUAGCGCACAAGUAGGGUGAUCGAAAGAUGAAAAGCACUUUGGAAAGAGAGUCAAACAGCACGUGAAAUUGUUGAAAGGGAAGCGCUUGCAGCCAGACUUGCUUGCAGUUGCUCAUCCGGGCUUUUGCCCGGUGCACUCUUCUGCAGGCAGGCCAGCAUCAGUUUGGGCGGUAGGAUAAAGGUCUCUGUCACGUACCUCUCUUCGGGGAGGCCUUAUAGGGGAGGCGACAUACUACCAGCCUGGACUGAGGUCCGCGCAUCUGCUAGGAUGCUGGCGUAAUGGCUGUAAGCGGCCCGUCUUGAAACACGGACC